UUUUUCCCAAUAGAAUAUUUUAGUAGAAAUCUUGAAUUUAGUGUUGAAUCCUUUAUUUGAUACCACCAUUAUGUGAUUAAGAAAUUUGGGCCUAUAUCUAUAAGAGCCCAAUUAUAUAUUUUUAGUCCAUGAUCCUUUUAAUUUUCAUGAGCCCAAUAUAAAACUUUUAUUUUAUUUUUCCAACCACACUUGAUCUGCCAAGAACCCAGAUUUCAACACCAAGAGAUCAUCCACGUUACCUUUGAUAGAAAAAUCUGCCCAAGGCUUUGAUUUGAAAUCAUCCACGUUACCUUCUUCUUUACCCCAUCUACUGCCUUUGUCUUCUUUAAAUUACCCACAGCCCUACCCCAUACACUUCACCACAGAUGAAUCUCAUCACUUUCAUCUCAAUUAUACUUCCCAAAAUUCGAUUUCUUCCAAAUAAAAGUAAACAAACUUCGCCCUUUUUUCUUUACAGAAGCGCCUAAACAAGAGCAGCAUAAGCAGUAAAAAAAAAACAUUCACCUCAUCAAGAUAGAACAGAAGCAGAGCUCAGCCCUCUUCAUCUUCUUCAUAAUCACAUCACGGCUCAAUUGACCAAGAGGAUUAGCAUUGCUUUUACGAGACGAGUUACGUUUGACUUCGGACUUUGUCCAAUCAAGGUUGAUCGGUUGGUGCAGAUGGGGUUGAGCUGAGGCUAGGGUUCCACGCUGGCUUUUGCUUCCGCUAAUGACUAGCUUGUUAUCUUGUAUUUCAAUUCCCUAAACUAAGAACUUCUAUUAUAUGAUGCAAUAUUAUCUUGUUGAGCUAAAACUUUUUAACUCAUAUUUCUAUUAAUAAAGUUAUUGUUGGUUAUGAUCA